UAAAAUACUGAGACUACAUGCUUAUACAAUUUUUAUUACAGUAUGUUGUGAUUGUUCUAACUUAUUAUCUAUUGCUAAUAUCUUACUGACUGAUUUAUAAAUUAGAAUUUAUCUUAAGAGUGUAUAGAAAAAAUACAGCAUAUAUACAGUAUGGUGAGUUUAAGAUAGAAUCUGGGAAGGUUUGGAACAUAAAUCCCUGGGAUAGGAGAAGUUAAGAGGAAAGUCCUUGGAUUCAGCCAACAUCUGACUCCAGCAGUGCUCCCUCAGUGUCCCAUCCCUGGGCUAAACGAUUUUGAGAAUAAAUAUCGCUGACUAAUGUUCAAGCAACAUGGGUUGUUAUUUUUGUUUAUUUGCUUGUUUUUUUUCCAGAAAGGUUAAAAAUUCCACAUUAUUUUACAGUCCAAGAAGAAACAAGAGUCAGUCCAAUUUUCUGUGACAGAAACAGUGUCGUCCUAAGGAGUGGAGAACACUGUCGAACGUAUCCUGCGCAUCUACCGGAGAAGAGGUCCCCACGCUGAACCAGCAGGCUUCUUGUUUCUCCCACUCCAAAGUGAAGUUGGCAGAAUGGCCUUGUAAGAGAGAACAAUUUAUUCAGCCCCAAAAUCAAACAUUUAAUUUCCAGAUUAAUCCCGUGUCAUUGCACCGCAGGAUGGAAAAGCAGAGUCAUCUUCCUAAAUGCAUAGGAACAAGCUUGAGAA